UACUAGAGUAGCACUCGCAUAUCAAUAAGCGGAGGAAAAGAAACUAACAAGGAUUCCCCUAGUAACGGCGAGUGAAGCGGGAAGAGCUCAAAUUUGAAAUCUUAAAGGGUUUCCCUUUACGAAUUGUAGUUUAAAGAAGUGUUUUCUGUUGAGGUUUUGGUAAAAGUUCUUUGGAAUAGGACAUCAUAGAGGGUGAGAAUCCCGUAUUUGACCUUUACUUUCAACUUUGUGAUACACUUUCAAAGAGUCGGAUUGUUUGGGAAUGCAGUCCAAAAUGGGUGGUAAAUUUCAUCUAAAGCUAAAUAUUGGCGAGAGACCGAUAGCGAACAAGUACCGUGAGGGAAAGAUGAAAAGAACUUUGAAAAGAGAGUUAAACAGUACGUGAAAUUGUCAAAAGGGGAGCGUUUGACACCAGUGUUGUUUUUCUGAAAAUCAAUUAAAGAACUGUUUAUGCUAAGUUGUUUAGACUUUAUCAGCUAUCUGUUUAGUUUUGAGCUUUUCUUUAAUGCACUUUUCAGUUAACAAGUCAACAUCAAUUUCUUUUGCUGUAAAAAAGCUUGAGGAAGGUGGCUUGAGAUUCGUCUUAAGUGUUUAUAGCCUCUUGCCUAUGCAGUCGGAGAGAUUGAGGUCUGCAGCGUAGAUCCUUCGGGGCUAAAUGCAUUUGUGCUAAGUUAUAGCAUUUUAUAGACAACUUGUUGACUAUGAUUUGUCUUGUAGCUUACUCGCUUAUGUUAUUUUACCUACGCUUAGGAUGUUGAGCGCAUGUCUCUCUCU
rnacentral:rRNA from 1 species